AGUGGUGUUGAAGGAAUGCAGGCUGUUAUGUCGAGUGAUGUUGCAAUUGCUCAGUUUCGGUAUUUGGAGCGUUUGCUACUUGUGCAUGGACACUGGUGUUACAGGAGGAUCUCAGCAAUGAUAUGCUACUUCUUCUACAAAAACAUUACAUUUGGCUUCUCUCUGUUCUUAUAUGAAGCGUUUGCAUCAUUCUCAGCGCAGCCUGCAUACAAUGAUUGGUUUAUGUCCCUGUAUAGUGUCUUCUUCACAUCACUUCCUGUGGUUGCUAUGGGUAUUCUUGACCAGGAUGUACCUGCAGCGUCUGCCCUCAAGUUUCCUCAAUUGUACCAAGAAGGGGUACAAAAUGUACUAUUCAGCUGGCGCCGAAUACUCAGUUGGAUGUUUAGUGGCUUCUAUAGUGCUGUUAUCAUUUUCUUCUUCUGCACAAAAGCAUUGGAACACCAAGCAUUCAAUGAUGAUGGAAAAACAGUUGGAAGGGACAUCUUAGGAGCAACAAUGUACUCAUGCAUUGUGUGGGCUGUGAACUUGCAAAUGGCACUCUCAAUUAGUUAUUUCACCAUAAUACAGCAUGUUUUAAUCUGGGGUUCUAUUGCUUUGUGGUACAUUUUUCUCUUGAUCUAUGGAUCCAUAACUCCCACAGCUUCUGGCAAUGCUUACCAGAUCUUUGUUGAAGCACUUGCCCCAGCGCCUACUUACUGGGUGCUUCUACUAUUUGUGGUGAUCUCUACUCUAAUCCCAUAUUUCUCAUUCUCAGCAAUUCAAAUGCAGUUCUUUCCCAUGUACCAUCAAAUGAUACAGUGGAUGAAUUAUGAGGGCCAAUCAAAUGAUGCUGAGUACUGUGAUAUGGUGCGGCAAAGGUCAAUUCGACCAACAACGGUGGGUUUUACAGCUCGUAAAGCAGCACGAUCUAGGCGUUAAAAGAUAAAGAGUUGGAUAACUUAAUACAUUAGCUAUUUGUUAUUGGAAGGCAUCUGUCAGAAGUUUAGUGCUUUGUGAUCUACUCAAAAUCUGAACUCUCCCUGCUGUAUCUGUCUACACUGAAAUCUCAGAGAAAGCCUUUUAUUCCACUGAAAGGAUAUUUCUGCAAUAUGGAACAUGCCGCAUUAGUUGGAAUUCUUAACGCUGCCGUGCCACUGCAAACGGCCACAUUGAUAAUGGAUUCGCUGCACACCUGCUGGACUGCUGCCAAUGAAGUUGGGACCACUUCUAAUGGUGCUGCCAGUGGUACAUUUCCCUCUGUCCCACGAACAAUCUUCGUACUUCCAGCCAUGGCAUGCAAAAUCUUUUCAAGACAUAUCCAAAAUUGAGGUACUUGAUGGGAAAAACUUCAAGAGGUGGCAAUAAAGAAUUUCACCAUCUUGGACAUGCAGGGACUGGCAUGGGCACUUUCCGAUCUUAAAAUGAAGCCUUCCAUGAUGCUUGUAUUCAUGCCAACAAGGUACGUAGGCAUACAUUAAUUCGCACUUUAUUAAAUGAUCUUUUCGAUGUUUAUUGUUCUUGCAAGGAGGCCAAAGUAAUAUGGGAUUCAAUGGUCUUGAAAUGCGCUACUGAAGAUACUGGCAAACAAAAGUUCAUCGUAGGAAACCUUUGUCAAUGGGAGAUAGUGGAAGACGAAGACAUUAAACAGCAAAUGAAUUUGUACGACAAGCUGUUGGAGGACCUAAGGAUUGAAAAUAUUCAAUUGCAAGAAGAAUUUGUUAGGGGCGUAUUGAUUGAAAAACUGCUAGAUUCUUGGAAUAUUUUAUACGGCAAUCCCUUUUUUUUGUAGGCCAAAUUUGCUUUCCAUUUUAUUUUUACCUUUUCUGCUAUCAAGUAUUAUAGUUCAACGUUAACUAAAACUGAGUCAUGGUUAUUUUCAAGUGUUAUUUCAUCUUUUUCUCCAUUAUCAUUCACAUUCUAAUGUUCAUAGUUAUUAUUUUGGCCAUGUAUAUGUACAACUCCUUCUAGCUAUCUUGAUGAAAUAGAAAUUCUUCUCUACUCA
rnacentral:misc_RNA from 1 species